AGCGGAAGUUUUUACUUGGUUGCUUGCACUAGAAAAACUAAGACGGCGAACGGUGGAGUAACACGUAAAGAACCUGCCUCAUAGACUGGGACGAACUAACUGAAACGAUAAGCUAAUACCGGAUAACAGCAUUAACUGCAUGGUUGAUGUUUAAAAGUUGGUUUUGCUAACACUAUGAGAUGGCUUUGCGGUGCAUUAGCUAGUUGGUGGGUAAAGGCCUACCAAGGCGACGAUGCAUAGCCGACCUGAGAGGGUGAUCGGCCACACUGGGACCGAGACACGGCCCAGACUCCUACGGGAGGCAGCAGUAGGGAAUCUUCCGCAAUGGGCGAAAGCCUGACGGAGCAACGCCGCGUGAGUGAAGAAGGAUUUCGGUUCGUAAAGCUCUGUUGUUAGGGAAGAAUGAUUGUGUAGUAACUAUACACAGUAGAGACGGUACCUAACCAGAAAGCCACGGCUAACUACGUG
rnacentral:rRNA from 1 species